ACCCAAUUACUUGUAAUGAAAAAUACAAAUUAAAAAUUAUUGAAUGAUGUAUUCUCAUUGUUUUCCUUAUCGAGGACAUUGGUGCAAUAUUUGUUACUGUACAGUAUUUGUCAUUGAGUAACUUGCAUAAUUAGUACCACAAACUCUUAACAAAAAUCCCCUUUUUUUGAAAUUUAGUAUAUAAGCAUUUCAAGAUUUAUACAUAUCCAGUGUCUCCUCGAAGACGAUUCAUACAAGAUGAAAUUCUUCCUUUUUACUUUCUUUGCCAUCCUCCUAGUUGGUACUUUUGUCAGUUCUUCAUCAGCAUCGCUUGAGGAUGAAGAAGCUCAAGACUCUUUGAUUCGUACAAGGAGAGCCAGUUGUAAUGAAAGAGAUUGUAAACUUGAUUGUUUGAAGAAUAUUUGGUACGUCAAAGGAAGAUGUGAAAAUGGAGAAUGCGAAUGCUACAGAUAACUUUAAUA